AUGACAUUUAUUGGAUCCUCCUAUGGUAAGCUCAUCUACUACUGCAACGGAUACUGUCGCAUCAUCGAUGUGUUCACCGGCGACGAGGUCUCGACUCCACGUCUCCCAUCCCGUGCUGGAUGUUCAAAACUUCACUUGGCUGGCAUUCUAACAGCCCCACUUGCAUCACCCAACUCACAUCUCCUUGUCAGUACCGAGUCCUUCCUGCUUGAUCUGCGUGUUGGAAACGACUCUUGGUCCGAACUCCAGCUUCCUUGUCAGUUUGUAAUAGACCAUUUUGUGGAGUUGGAUGGUCAGCUCAUUGUCUCGAAUAGCUAUGGGAGAUCCUACGCUCUGCAGCUGGCCCCUCAGCAUGGCCUGCAGGAGAUAAAAACCAAGCCUGUGGGAGGAAAGCCGGUGGUAGGAAGGCUGGUGGUUUGUGGUGAUAUACUUCUCAUUCUCAGUUUUGGCGAGUUCCACCGCCUCGACAUGUCAACUGAGCCCGCGACACGGGUGGCCGUGGAGAAGCUGGGCGAGCGGGCACUCUUUGUAGGGGCGGAAGCGAAGAGCUCGGCACUUUCUUGCAUGAGCCCGGAGCUAUGGGGAGGAAGGAGCGACAUCGUGUACUUUGCUCGUACAGCUCGACCUUGGUUUCUCUAUAGGCUGUGUGGCAGGCCAGAUCGCUUGCAGGAUAGACCAACACGACCAACACGCGUUGAACCCGCAGGCUUUGGAAGCACCCCAGUGCAGUCAUCAGUUCGGCCGCUCUGGCUGUACCCAAGCAUGUUCUACUCGGAUGGCCAAUGA
rnacentral:rRNA from 1 species